rnacentral:rRNA from 1 species
GUGGGGAAUAUUGGACAAUGGGCGAAAGCCUGAUCCAGCCAUGCCGCGUGUGUGAAGAAGGUCUUCGGAUUGUAAAGCACUUUAAGUUGGGAGGAAGGGCAGUAAGUUAAUACCUUGCUGUUUUGACGUUACCAACAGAAUAAGCACCGGCUAACUUCGUGCCAGCAGCCGCGGUAAUACGAAGGGUGUAAGCGUUAAUCGGAAUUACUGGGCGUAAAGCGCGCGUAGGUGGUUUUGUAAGUUGGAGGUGAAAUCCCCGGGCUCAACCUGGGAACUGCCUCAAAAACUGCAUGACUAGAGUACGGUAGAGGGUAGUGGAAUUUCCUGUGUAGCGGUGAAAUGCGUAGAUAUAGGAAGGAACACCAGUGGCGAAGGCGACUACCUGGACUGAUACUGACACUGAGGUGCGAAAGCGUGGGGAGCAAACAGGAUUAGAUACCCCAGUAGUCC